UGGGAAGAAUGAAGUUACAUAUUCAGAGCUUCUCAAGCUUGCAGUUUGGCAGCAAAACCUGCCUGCGGCCCAUGAAAUUUGGAAGGAUUAUAUCAAAAACUACAGUCUGAGCAUUAUUCCUCUACAGAAGUUUAUUUGGUCUUUUACUAGGUUGGGAGAUUUAAAAUCUGCGUAUGAGA